rnacentral:misc_RNA from 1 species
UCCCCUUUAGACCAGAAAUGAACUGCAACAGAAAUUGUGUCCAUGGUAUAAGGUUGGCCCCGUAUGAAAAAUCCUCCAAAAAAUAUCCUCUUGAGCCCAAAUCGGAGUGCAUUCAAGUAAGAGAUUUGUCCAAUAUUAUUUGAAAUCAUCCUAAGAAGAGAUCGGGCGACAUCUUCAGGUUUGUAAUCUUCAAGCUCUUUAUUGUCAGAAACAGCCUUCCCAAAGCUGGAAGCAAUAGUUGUUGAUAAAAGGCCAAUCUUUGAAUAAUCC